GGUUUCACCCUGCCCUACUUGGCUCCUCAGCCAAUCACUGUUUACACCGAGAGGAUAAAAGUAGGACAGGUCCCCCCCCUCUGCCCUUUCGCUUCCUGCCUCUUCGGCCCGCCCCCUUCCGGGUCGUUGUCUCUGCUGCGCACCGCAUAGCACAGAUCGGCAUUACUGAGGCGGCCGUGGUGAUGCAUUUGGGCCGUUGCCUAGGUUGACCGGAGCAUAGCUGCUGGUCGCAUGGUGUGUGGUGGCAGUCCUCCCCCGCUGCGCCGACCCUCUUCACCCCUCUCCCUCUUUGGUGGGGACGCAAACCGACCGGACUGGAAACCGGUAUCUUGACCGUCACGGCCAAGUAAGAACAGUAUAGAGUGAUCUCGGCUAUUUAGCCGCGGCUAACUGCUACUUUGCUGCUGCCUGCUACUUUGCUGCUGCCUGCUACUUUGCUGCUACUGCUACUUUGCUGCUACUUCGCCGGCUUGGUGUGGGGGUCCUGGCGGCCGUUCCCGGCCGACCUGUGUCUCUCGGCGGGCCCUGUUUCCUGCUGCUGCUGCUGCACGCAACGCAGUGUGGGUUUUGGGUGUGUGGCUCCGCUUGCACUGGACAUUAAGAGUCCCGUUCGGAGACUCAGCCACCUGAUCGGACUGUGUGUGUGCGUGGAUGUUUGUGUGUUUUAAUGUAAUUAAUCAAGGUGUGGUGUAAUUCUGUUUAUUUCUCUGGUUAACCUAUUUUGAUGAUUUCUUAUUAUCUCAGUUGUUUAUUGUUUUGUUUGAAUAACCUGUUUAUUUUGGGGAGUUUGUUGAAAUUAUUUAAUUUUCUUUUGGGAGGGAAAUUUGCUUUAUAAAUGGAUUAAUUGAUUUAAGAUUAACUGUUGAGUUUAUCUCUGGCCGGAGACUCCUUAAUUUUCUUUUUCAUUAGUGUGGUUGAUUUCUGAUCAAUUAAAUUUACUAUUCUUUAGCUUCUUAUUUGAUCAUUCGUUAGCCCAUUUAUGUUUUGGGAUAUUGUUUGUUUCUUUGAUGGUGCCCCCCUGUUAACUGUGUUUUUAUUAUUUUCCUAGAGUUGGAGGCCGACGGUGAUGGUGGUGGUGGUUCCUCCUGGGUGGUGGUGGUCCCCUGUGUGCGUGUGAUUCCCAUUCAAGAUUAUUUUGUGUGCACUUCACGUUUUGCUGUGUGAAUGGGGUGUUCCCCUCUUUUUUGGACGUCACUUCCCUUUUGUUGACCCCUCCUCCAGCCGGUAAGCCUCAGCUCGCAUCCCCUUCUACAGUUGGGCUCGCUUCAUAUUUAUUUCUUUCAUUAUCCCAGACCUUGUGAUUAGUUUUUUUAACAAUAAAGUUUUGUAUGACAUUUUGAACUCCGUCUCCUAACCUCCCUGUCUUGAACGAACCUGUGUCCUUUUACAAUAGUUGAUAAUUGACCUUUCCUACGGGUCCUUGGGCCCUAACCCAAGGUGGCGUUGUCGGUAAUAUAGGAGAAAAAAAAUCAUUUGAGAGAUAACUUAGUAAAUCACCCCUAGUGCCGCCACAAACUUGGCGUUGUCGGCAGGAUAGGAGAAAAAAAAUCAUUUGAGAGAUAACUUAGUAAAUCACCCCUAGUGCCGCCACAAACUUGGCGUUGUCGGCAGGAUCAAAUCAGUGGAGGUGGAGACGUGUGUUCUGUUCCUUUUCUGUUAUUUUGUUUUCAGAUUGUUAGUGUGAGUGUGAAUGUACAGCAGUUUAAAGCGAACCAGCAGUGAAUUUAUUGUAUUUUUGUAGCCGUAGCAUCAGUAUUCACAGCUAAGUUGUAACUU